rnacentral:rRNA from 1 species
CACGUAGGGGGCGAGCGUUGUCCGGAAUCACUGGGCGUAAAGCGCACGUAGGCGGAUUUGCCAGUCAGGGGUGAAAUCCCGGGGCUCAACCUCGGAACUGCCUUUGAUACAGCAAGUCUUGAGUUCGAGAGAGGUGGGUGGAAUUCCUAGUGUAGAGGUGAAAUUCGUAGAUAUUAGGAAGAACACCGGUGGCGAAGGCGGCCCACUGGCUCGACACUGACGCUGAGGUGCGAAAGCGUGGGGAGCAACAGG